GAGUGGUGUGUAUAGGUGGCAGGUGUCAGAGUGGUGUGUAUGGGUGGCAGGUGUCAGAGUGGUGUGUAUAGAUGGCAGGUGUCAGAGUGGUGUGUAUAGGUGGCAGGUGUCAGAGUGGUGUGUAUAGAUGGCAGGUGUCAGAGUGGUGUGUAUAGGUGGCAGGUGUCAGAGUGGUGUGUAUAGAUGGCAGGUGUCAGAGUGGUGUGUAUAGGUGGCAGGUGUCAGAGUGGUGUGUAUAGGUGGCAGGUGUCAGAGUGGUGUGUAUAGGUGGCAGGUGUCAGAGUGGUGUGUAUAGGUGGCAGGUGUCAGAGUGGUGUGUAUAGGUGGCAGGUGUCAGAGUGGUGUGUAUAGGUGGCAGGUGUCAGAGUGGUGUGUAUAGAUGGCAGGUGUCAGAGUGGUGUGUAUAGAUGGCAGGUGUCAGAGUGGUGUGUAUAGAUGGCAGGUGUCAGAGUGGUGUGUAUAGGUGGCAGGUGUCAGAGUGGUGUGUAUAGGUGGCAGGUGUCAGAGUGGUGUGUAUAGAUGGCAGGUGUCAGAGUGGUGUGUAUAGGUGGCAGGUGUCAGAGUGGUGUGUAUAGGUGGCAGGUGUCAGAGUGGUGUGUAUAGAUGGCAGGUGUCAGAGUGGUGUGUAUAGGUGGCAGGUGUCAGAGUGGUGUGUAUAGGUGGCAGGUGUCAGAGUGGUGUGUAUAGAUGGCAGGUGUCAGAGU